GUCAUAGCUCAGUGGCAGAGCAUCUGCUUUGCAUGCAGAAGGUUCAAGGUUCAAUCCCCAGCAUCUCCA
rnacentral:tRNA from 1 species